GGGGGCCUAAUACAUGCAAGUCGAGCGGACAGAAACGCGGGAGCUUGCUCCCGGAUGUUAGCGGCGGACGGGUGAGUAACACGUGGGUAACCUGCCUGUAAGACUGGGAUAACUCCGGGAAACCGGAGCUAAUACCGGAUAGUUCCUUGAACCGCAUGGUUCAAGGAUGAAAGACGGUUUCGGCUGUCACUUACAGAUGGACCCGCGGCGCAUUAGCUAGUUGGUGGGGUAAUGGCUCACCAAGGCGACGAUGCGUAGCCGACCUGAGAGGGUGAUCGGCCACACUGGGACUGAGACACGGCCCAGACUCCUACGGGAGGCAGCAGUAGGGAAUCUUCCGCAAUGGACGAAAGUCUGACGGAGCAACGCCGCGUGAGUGAUGAAGGUUUUCGGAUCGUAAAGCUCUGUUGUUAGGGAAGAACAAGUGCGAGAGUAACUGCUCGCACCUUGACGGUACCUAACCAGAAAGCCACGGCUAACUACGUGCCAGCAGCCGCGGUAAUACGUAGGUGGCAAGCGUUGUCCGGAAUUAUUGGGCGUAAAGGGCUCGCAGGCGGUUUCUUAAGUCUGAUGUGAAAGCCCCCGGCUCAACCGGGGAGGGUCAUUGGAAACUGGGAAACUUGAGUGCAGAAGAGGAGAGUGGAAUUCCACGUGUAGCGGUGAAAUGCGUAGAGAUGUGGAGGAACACCAGUGGCGAAGGCGACUCUCUGGUCUGUAACUGACGCUGAGGAGCGAAAGCGUGGGGAGCGAACAGGAUUAGAUACCCUGGUAGUCCACGCCGUAAACGAUGAGUGCUAAGUGUUAGGGGGUUUCCGCCCCUUAGUGCUGCAGCUAACGCAUUAAGCACUCCGCCUGGGGAGUACGGUCGCAAGACUGAAACUCAAAGGAAUUGACGGGGGCCCGCACAAGCGGUGGAGCAUGUGGUUUAAUUCGAAGCAACGCGAAGAACCUUACCAGGUCUUGACAUCCUCUGACAACCCUAGAGAUAGGGCUUUCCCUUCGGGGACAGAGUGACAGGUGGUGCAUGGUUGUCGUCAGCUC
rnacentral:rRNA from 1 species